rnacentral:lncRNA from 1 species
CAGCGCCCUGGACUGGACCCACGGGCUCUCUGUGCUCCCAAGACACUGGCUGUCGAGCCACUGCAGCCCCCACCGCCGCGCCGUCCUAGAGUCCCACUGCCGCUCGGGCGCCGCGCCCGGCCUCCGCCUCUCCCUCCCGGUUCUGGUGGUAGUCCUGGCAACCGCGACGCUGUGCUAAGGAAUCCCGCCUGGACCACCCCGCCGCCCGGGAGGCCCCCUCCACCUGCUUGUUCGGCACGUCGCUAGAUGGUGCCCUGGCUCCCCUCUGCUGGGGCAAUGCGGAGACCUGGAAGCCUCUGCAAAAUCCUGGGCAGCCAAGGCGGGGCUUGAGGAUCCGAUACACCCUCUUCCAAGGUUUUCAGAGCAGCCUCCUCCACCCCCACCAUGGGCCAAGACGGGGCAGGGGGCAUGGGUGGGGUGAGGAGCCCCUCUUCUGUGUGGGCCCAAUCUCCCAGCUGUAACCAGAUCUGAAUGAAUCACAU